UUUUCUCUCUCAUUUCAGAAAGCUUUCUCUGGCCUAGAUCAUAAAUAUAUGCUCAAACAAUAUCUUCUAUUAAUUUUUAAAAAGAAAUGUUUGAGUUUAGGAUUUUUUUCAUCUGAAAUUUAUUUUCAUAGUCAUGUAAAGUAGGAACUAAUUUUAUGUUAAAAUCUUCAAGUGGCUUCACAUUUUCUUACAGGAUUGAGGCCAAAUACACUGUGUCCUGAAAGCACAUACUGAUUCUGUGACUGUAAAUUUCCCUUUUCAUUACUCACAUUUUUAGUUGAUUCAUCCGACUCUUUUUACUCAUACUUCAACAUUCAGUGAAAUAUAGCCUCUUGCAUGUAAUACUCCUUGAUCCACUCAGUGUUGAAAACCCUUCAUUCCUCUCCCGACUGUACCUGGCUCAUACACUACUGUUGCAUUGUAACAGUAGUUACAAUGCGUUGUGAAGUCAUCACAUUGUGAAGUCAUCCAUUUACAUGCCAAGAUUCUACUCUUGAUUCUGAAUAUCCCUUAAAUGAUGACCACCCUACUGUGUCUUCUCAUGCCUCUAACUUAUGAAUGAGCUUAUUCCUCUAGAACGGGAAUGUUCUUUUCUACUUUUGUUCCUAACUCUGACUCGACUCUACUCGACUCUCCUAGCAUGAAGCAGGAAGAAACAUCUGCCAUAUCAAGCAUACCUAUGAUUCCACACCCUAAAAUGGCUCCUGAGUUGGUCAAUCUUCUAUAAACAGAAGUCUAGGCAAAGAGUGGGAUUCCUGAGGAAUUGCUUUCUGGUCACCUCUGAUCUGACAAAUCCAUGAUGUAAGUGCUUCAAUUUCCUCAAAGAAAAGAGUAGAGGCAAGGCAUGGUGACUCACCCCUGCAAUACCAGCAUUUUGGGAGGCUGAGGCAGGCAGAUCACUUGAGGUCAGGAGUUCAGGACCAGCCUGGCCAACAUGGUGAAACUCCGUCUCUACUAAAACUACAAAAAUUAGCAGGACGUUGGUGGCACGUGCCUGUAGUCCCAGCUACUAGGGAGGCAGAGGCAUGAGAAUUACUUGAGCCUGGGAGGUGGAGGUUGCAGUGAGCUGAGAUUGUGCCAUAUAUACCUGUCUUCAUCUACAUAAAUAUAUAUACAUACAUGCAUGCCUGCAUACA
rnacentral:lncRNA from 1 species